ACAGCAGUAGCCACGGGAAUACGUAGGUGGCAAGCGUUGUCCGGAAUUAUUGGGCGUAAAGGGCUCGCAGGCGGUUUCUUAAGUCUGAUGUGAAAGCCCCCGGCUCAACCGGGGAGGGUCAUUGGAAACUGGGAAACUUGAGUGCAGAAGAGGAGAGUGGAAUUCCACGUGUGGCGGUGAAAUGCGUAGAGAUGUGGAGGAGCACCAGUGGCGAAGGCGACUCUCUGGUCUGUAACUGACGCUGAGGAGCGAAAGCGUGGGGAGCGAACAGGAUUAGAUACCCCUGUAGUCCCUGUCUCUUAUAC
rnacentral:rRNA from 1 species